rnacentral:rRNA from 1 species
CUACCUAGUAGUAUAGGAUAGCCACUAGAAAUGGUGGGUAAUACUGUAUAAUCCCUGCGGGGGAAAGAUUUAUCGCUACAUGAUGAGCCUAUGUUAGAUUAGCUAGUUGGUGGGGUAAUGGCCUACCAAGGCAGUGAUCUAUAGCUGGUCUGAGAGGAUGAUCAGCCACACUGGAACUGAGACACGGUCCAGACUCCUACGGGAGGCAGCAGUGGGGAAUAUUGGACAAUGGGCGCAAGCCUGAUCCAGCUAUGCCGCGUGAGUGAGGAAGGCCUUAGGGUUGUAAAACUCUUUCAGUGGGGAAGAUAAUGACGGUACCCACAGAAGAAGUCCCGGCAAACUCCGUGCCAGCAGCCGCGGUAAUACGGAGGGGGCAAGCGUUGUUCGGAAUUAUUGGGCGUAAAGGGCAUGUAGGUGGUUUGGUAAGUUAAAGGUGAAAUGCCAGGGCUUAACCCUGGAGCUGCUUUUAAUACUGCCAGACUGGAGUCCGGGAGA